GGAAGAUGUCGAGCAGUUCUGAUUACUGUAUUUUUACAUCUAAGUGGAGGGUUUACAUCAGAAGCAUGCUGCUGUAUAUAAAACAAGGGACUCCCUAACCACUGUGACACAUGAGUAUUAAAGCAAAGACUGACAGCCUAAAGACGACGAACCGGUGACACCACGGAGAUAAAGGACAAAGACCCCAGGGCUAAUCUACCCAUUUCAGGAUUCCAAGCUAACAGAAUCUGCCUGCAGCUUCGGGAAGGUAGAGUGCAACAACUGAAACAAUCUCAGUGAUGGUAAAGGAGGAAAGUAGGCGACUUGGAGUCUAGGUCAAGUGUGACUUGGCCAAAUUGCCUUCUCCAGAACUCAUUUUACUUUGCAAAACAACGGAGUUGGGUUGACCGGACACAUCUUACUCCGUGUUAUUGUUCUUUACUACUGUUGGGAAGGGAAUGUUUUUACUUCAUUCUCUUUCCUAGGACCUACAAACUUUUUUUAAUGAAUAAAGAGCACAAAGAAGCAGGAUCUUCACUUCUAUGAAGCAAGGUUAGCGUUAAGAACCUUGGGUUUGGGGGAUGAUUCCUUCUGCCACCCACGGCUUGAAUUUAUUUCUUGUUUCUGUGACCUUGGGCAAGUCCCUUCUCUUCUUUGGGUCUCUUAUCAGUCUGUCAAAAGAAAUUAUACCAGGUAAUCUGAGCGUCUUUCCGUCUUUAAGGAUAAAGCCGAAGACAAUUUGAAGAGCUCAUUUGUCUAGGUGCCCACGCCGGGCACUUCCCCCCAUUCCUCCGGAUUCAGCUUGUCUACUUUUCUGGUUACCAUCAUUCCGAUACGGCUGCAGAAUAGGA